rnacentral:rRNA from 1 species
UACAGAGGUGUCAAACGUUGUCCGGAAUUAUUGGGCGUAAAGGGCGCGUAGGCGGCCGGGUAAGUGAGAUGUGAAAGCCCGGGGCUCAACCCCGGAACGGCACCCGAGACUGCCGGGCUCGAGACCGGGAGAGGAGGGUGGAAUACCCAGUGUAGAGGUGAAAUUCGUAGAUAUUGGGUGGAACACCGGUGGCGAAAGCGGCUCUCUGGCCCGGUUCUGACGCUGAGGCGCGAAAGCGUGGGGAGCAAACAGG